AAAAAAAACAUAUAAUUUUCAAAGGAGGGUUAUAUAUCAAAAGUAUUUGAAUAGAUCAUCUAUUUUUUUUUUUUUUUAUGAAGAAUCCUUAAAAUAUAUAUAUUUGUAAUUUCUUACAAUAUAUAUACUAAGUCACAUUUGAGGAAGACCCAAAAAAGAAAAGAAAAAAAAACAAAAAUAAUAAGAAAUGAACGUUAAUGUAUAUAAAGGAAUAAAUACAUACAAAGCUAUAUAAUAAUAAUUUACUGUGUAUAUAUAUCUUUUGUUUUCUUUCAUUAUAUAUAUAUAUAUUUAUAAAUUUUUUUUUUUUUUCCUAAAAUGUAAUUAGUGUUUUGUAUCAAUAUAUUAUAAAAAAAUUUUCUAUGUUUAUAUAUAUAUAUAUAUAUAUAUAUAUAUAUACAUAUUUGCUCAUUUUUUUUUUUUUUUAUUUUAUUUUAUAUGCAUCCUUUUUAAUAAAUGAAGUUGAUAUAUUAAUUCAUCGCUUACAUUGAAAGUAGUAUAACUUAAAACCUAAAAGAAAAAAAAAAGACCAAAGCAAAAGAAAAAUUAUGAAUAAAACAAUAUUUUCAAUUUAAAAUAAAUAAAUAUAAAUAUAUAUAUUUUAUAUAUAUGUAGUAUAAUUAUAUAAAAUGGACAUUU